UAAAAUACAGCUUGUGCAAGAACUGAAACCGCCCAACCUUCCCAAGCGACAUCGCUUCGCUCUAUGGGCUCUUGAAGAAUUCCUUGAUGCUGGUGAGAACGUGACUGUCAAUGGUGACCGCUAUCGCGCCAUGAUAACCCGCUAUAUGAUGCCUUAAAUUAAAGUUCGUGAUCUCGGCGAUAUUUGGUUUCAACAAGACGGCGCCAAUUUUAGUCGAAAUUUACCCUAAAAUGUGAUGGACUGUAAACCAGACCCUAAGUGAGCCUCGUAAUUUUAAUAGACUCUGUGAAUACUGCAAAAAAACCAAUUGGAUAACCAGGCAGUAUAUAUAUCUGGUUCUAAUAUCUUGAGAGAUCUACAAGGAAGAAGAAAUAAAACUUAUCGAGUAUAAUUAUAAUUACAAAACAAAAUCCGUUAUAAAUAACCAUGUGCUAUGUAUAUAAUGAACGCACCGAUUACAACAAUUUCAUCUCGUUAAUUAUGUUUGAUUGAGAAAAAAUUAAAAAAUUUGUGGCUGUCGUACGAAUGAAUAAAGAAUAAAGCUUUGUUAACAAUUGGUAUGAAA